UGGUAGCCAGCCCCCUGGUUUGUAGGACUGGGUAGGUUAUACACAGCAAUACGUACAAGCAGUUUACGGUGUAGAGAAAAUUGAUGACGGGACAAGCUGUCAUUUCUGAACAGAUAGAAGGUGAAGAAAGGCUAACAAUUGGAAUACCUAGUGCUAAAUUAAACCUACAAUUUGUUAAAUCUACUAAAUAUUAAUAAUUUCUUAAUGCUAAUCUUAACGCUAUUUCGGUAUCACAGGAUCGCUUAAAACUAUCUUAAGAUACGUGAUUGAAUAUCGGAACACCUCCACGUGGUGUAGACCGUUUAAAGAUAAUUGAGAAUAAGAUUAGCAAAAACCCGGCGAAUGCGAUUUGCUGACCGUUUUUAAGAGCCUUUUGGGGUUGCAGGAGGAAAAACAAAAUUUCUUUAAGCUGCCAACUAAAAAAGGCUGCUCUAAGGAUUGUUAAUCCUCACAUCCGAACAAACUUAAAGA